GGUCAAGUGAAUAAGUGCAUCAGGCGGAUGCCUUGGCGAUGAUAGGCGACGAAGGACGUGUAAGCCUGCGAAAAGCGCGGGGGAGCUGGCAAUAAAGCUAUGAUUCCGCGAUGUCCGAAUGGGGAAACCCACUGCAUUCUGUGCAGUAUCCUAAGUUGAAUACAUAGGCUUAGAGAAGCGAACCCGGAGAACUGAACCAUCUAAGUACCCGGAGGAAAAGAAAUCAACCGAGAUUCCGCAAGUAGUGGCGAGCGAACGCGGAGGAGCCUGUACGUAAUAACUGUCGAGAUAGAAGAACAAGCUGGGAAGCUUGACCAUAGCGGGUGACAGUCCCGUAUUCGAAAUCUCAACAGCGGUACUAAGCGUACGAAAAGUAGGGCGGGACACGUGAAAUCCUGUCUGAAUAUGGGGGGACCAUCCUCCAAGGCUAAAUACUCAUCAUCGACCGAUAGUGAACCAGUACCGUGAGGGAAAGGCGAAAAGAACCCCGGGAGGGAAGUGAAACAGAACCUGAAACCUGAUGCAUACAAACAGUGGGAGCGCCCUAGUGGUGUGACUGCGUACCUUUUGUAUAAUGGGUCAACGACUUACAUUCAGUAGCGAGCUUAACCGGAUAGGGGAGGCGUAGGGAAACCGAGUCUUAAUAGGGCGAUGAGUUGCUGGGUGUAGACCCGAAACCGAGUGAUCUAUCCAUGGUCAGGUUGAAGGUGCCGUAACAGGUACUGGAGGACCGAACCCACGCAUGUUGCAAAAUGCGGGGAUGAGCUGUGGGUAGGGGUGAAAGGCUAAACAAACUCGGAGAUAGCUGGUUCUCCCCGAAAACUAUUUAGGUAGUGCCUCGAGCAAGACACUGAUGGGGGUAAAGCACUGUUAUGGCUAGGGGGUUAUUGCAACUUACCAACCCAUGGCAAACUCAGAAUACCAUCAAGUGGUUCCUCGGGAGACAGACAGCGGGUGCUAACGUCCGUUGUCAAGAGGGAAACAACCCAGACCGCCGGCUAAGGUCCCAAAUGAUAGAUUAAGUGGUAAACGAAGUGGGAAGGCACAGACAGCCAGGAUGUUGGCUUAGAAGCAGCCAUCAUUUAAAGAAAGCGUAAUAGCUCACUGGUCGAGUCGUCCUGCGCGGAAGAUGUAACGGGGCUCAAAUCUAUAACCGAAGCUGCGGAUGCCGGUUUACCGGCAUGGUAGGGGAGCGUUCUGUAGGCUGAUGAAGGUGCAUUGUAAAGUGUGCUGGAGGUAUCAGAAGUGCGAAUGUUGACAUGAGUAGCGAUAAAGCGGGUGAAAAGCCCGCUCGCCGAAAGCCCAAGGUUUCCUACGCAACGUUCAUCGGCGUAGGGUAAGUCGGCCCCUAAGGCGAGGCAGAAAUGCGUAGUCGAUGGGAAACAGGUUAAUAUUCCUGUACUUGAUUCAAAUGCGAUGUGGGGACGGAGAAGGUUAGGUUGGCAAGCUGUUGGAAUAGCUUGUUUAAGCCGGUAGGUGGAAGACUUAGGCAAAUCCGGGUUUUCUUAACACCGAGAAGUGAUGACGAGUGUCUACGGACACGAAGCAACCGAUACCACGCUUCCAGGAAAAGCCACUAAGCUUCAGUUUGAAUCGAACCGUACCCCAAACCGACACAGGUGGGUAGGAUGAGAAUUCUAAGGCGCUUGAGAGAACUCGGGAGAAGGAACUCGGCAAAUUGAUACCGUAACUUCGGGAGAAGGUAUGCCCUCUAAGGUUAAGGACUUGCUCCGUAAGCCCCGGAGGGUCGCAGAGAAUAGGUGGCUGCGACUGUUUAUUAAAAACACAGCACUCUGCCAACACGAAAGUGGACGUAUAGGGUGUGACGCCUGCCCGGUGCCGGAAGGUUAAUUGAAGAUGUGCAAGCAUCGGAUCGAAGCCCCGGUAAACGGCGGCCGUAACUAUAACGGUCCUAAGGUAGCGAAAUUCCUUGUCGGGUAAGUUCCGACCCGCACGAAUGGCGUAACGAUGGCCACACUGUCUCCUCCCGAGACUCAGCGAAGUUGAAGUGGUUGUGAAGAUGCAAUCUACCCGCUGCUAGACGGAAAGACCCCGUGAACCUUUACUGUAGCUUUGCAUUGGACUUUGAAGUCACUUGUGUAGGAUAGGUGGGAGGCUUGGAAGCAGAGACGCCAGUCUCUGUGGAGUCGUCCUUGAAAUACCACCCUGGUGUCUUUGAGGUUCUAACCCAGACCCGUCAUCCGGGUCGGGGACCGUGCAUGGUAGGCAGUUUGACUGGGGCGGUCUCCUCCCAAAGCGUAACGGAGGAGUUCGAAGGUUACCUAGGUCCGGUCGGAAAUCGGACUGAUAGUGCAAUGGCAAAAGGUAGCUUAACUGCGAGACCGACAAGUCGGGCAGGUGCGAAAGCAGGACAUAGUGAUCCGGUGGUUCUGUAUGGAAGGGCCAUCGCUCAACGGAUAAAAGGUACUCCGGGGAUAACAGGCUGAUUCCGCCCAAGAGUUCAUAUCGACGGCGGAGUUUGGCACCUCGAUGUCGGCUCAUCACAUCCUGGGGCUGUAGUCGGUCCCAAGGGUAUGGCUGUUCGCCAUUUAAAGUGGUACGUGAGCUGGGUUUAAAACGUCGUGAGACAGUUUGGUCCCUAUCUGCAGUGGCGUUGGAAGUUUGACGGGGCUGCUCCUAGUACGAGAGGACCGGAGUGGACGAACCUCUGGUGUACCGGUUGUAACGCCAGUUGCAUAGCCGGGUAGCUAAGUUCGGAAGAGAUAAGCGCUGAAAGCAUCUAAGCGCGAAACUCGCCUGAAGAUGAGACUUCCCUUGCGGUUUAACCGCACUAAAGGGUCGUUCGAGACCAGGACGUUGAUAGGUGGGGUGUGGAAGCGCGGUAACGCGUGAAGCUAACCCAUACUAAUUGCCCGUGAGGCUUGACUCU
rnacentral:rRNA from 1 species